rnacentral:lncRNA from 1 species
UUGUCUAAGAAGAGAGAUGGAAUAAGGAGUGUGUUUAAUAGAAAGGAAAACGAGUUUGAAAGAGAAAGAGAGAAGAAGGAGUCUGUUUAGUAGAAGAGAGAAAGCGUUUAACGCUUUGAUCACACCCACAACCACAUGGACUUGACAUUUAGCUAACUCAUUUAUCUAACAUUCAUUGCUAUCUAACUCAUUAAUCACACUUCAGCUUUGACUUUCGGUUUGACAUUCACAAUCAAUUCACGGUUCACAAUCAAUUGCUAUCUACCUACUUUAUAUUCAAACCAGAUUCACAAUCAA